AGUGAACGCUGGCGGUAGGCCUAACACAUGCAAGUCGAACGGCAGCACAGUAAGAGCUUGCUCUUACGGGUGGCGAGUGGCGGACGGGUGAGGAAUACAUCGGAAUCUACUUUUUCGUGGGGGAUAACGUAGGGAAACUUACGCUAAUACCGCAUACGACCUACGGGUGAAAGCAGGGGAUCUUCGGACCUUGCGCGUUUGAAUGAGCCGAUGUCGGAUUAGCUAGUUGGCGGGGUAAAGGCCCACCAAGGCGACGAUCCGUAGCUGGUCUGAGAGGAUGAUCAGCCACACUGGAACUGAGACACGGUCCAGACUCCUACGGGAGGCAGCAGUGGGGAAUAUUGGACAAUGGGCGCAAGCCUGAUCCAGCCAUACCGCGUGAGUGAAGAAGGCCUUCGGGUUGUAAAGCCCUUUUGUUGGGAAAGAAAAGCAGCAGGUUAAUACCCCGAUGUUCUGACGGUACCCAAAGAAUAAGCACCGGCUAACUUCGUG
rnacentral:rRNA from 1 species